rnacentral:rRNA from 1 species
CACGUAGGGUGCGAGCGUUGUCCGGAAUUAUUGGGCGUAAAGAGCUCGUAGGCGGUGUGUCGCGUCGGCCGUGAAAACCUGCAGCUUAACUGUGGGCUUGCGGUCGAUACGGGCAUCACUGGAGUUCGGCAGGGGAGACUGGAAUUCCUGGUGUAGCGGUGAAAUGCGCAGAUAUCAGGAGGAACACCGAUAGCGAAGGCAGCUCGCUGGGACGGUACUGACGCUGAGGCGCGAAAGCGUGGGGAGCGAACAGG